AGUGCGUCUUAAGCAUGCAAGUCAAACGGGAUGUAGCAAUACAUCUAGUGGCGAACGGGUGAGUAACGCGUGGAUGAUCUACCUACGAGAUGGGGAUAACUAUUAGAAAUAGUAGCUAAUACCGAAUAAAGUCAAUUAAUUUGUUAAUUGAUGAAAGGAAGCCUUUAAAGCUUCGCUUGUAGAUGAGUCUGCGUCUUAUUAGCUAGUUGGUAGGGUAAAUGCCUACCAAGGCGAUGAUAAGUAACCGGCCUGAGAGGGUGAACGGUCACACUGGAACUGAGAUACGGUCCAGACUCCUACGGGAGGCAGCAGCUAAGAAUCUUCCGCAAUGGGCGAAAGCCUGACGGAGCGACACUGCGUGAAUGAAGAAGGUCGAAAGAUUGUAAAAUUCUUUUAUAAAUGAGGAAUAAGCUUUGUAGGAAAUGACGAAGUGAUGACGUUAAUUUAUGAAUAAGCCCCGGCUAAUUACGUGCCAGCAGCCGCGGUAAUACGUAAGGGGCGAGCGUUGUUCGGGAUUAUUGGGCGUAAAGGGUGAGUAGGCGGAUAUAUAAGUCUAUGCAUAAAAUACCACAGCUCAACUGUGGAACUAUGUUGGAAACUAUAUGUCUAGAGUCUGAUAGAGGAAGUUAGAAUUUCUGG
rnacentral:rRNA from 1 species